rnacentral:rRNA from 1 species
AUUGAACGCUGGCGGCAUGCUUUACACAUGCAAGUCGGACGGCAGCACAGAGAAGCUUGCUUCUUGGGUUGGCGAGUGGCGAACCGGGUGAGUAACAUAUCGGAACGUACCGAGUAAUGGGGGAUAACUAAUCGAAAGAUUAGCUAAUACCCGCAUAUUCUCUGAGGAGGAAAGCAGGGGAACUUCGGGCCUUGCGUUAUUCGAGCGGCCGAUAUCUGAUUAGCUAGUUGGUGGGGUAAAGGCCUACCAAGGCGACGAUCAGUAGCGGGUCUGAGAGGAUGAUCCGCCACACUGGGACUGAGACACGGCCCAGACUCCUACGGGAGGCAGCAGUGGGGAAUUUUGGACAAUGGGCGCAAGCCUGAUCCAGCCAUGCCGCGUGUCUGAAGAAGGGCUUCGGGUUGUAAAGGACUUUUGUCAGGGAAGAAAAGGCUGUUGCUAAUAUCGACAGCUGAUGACGUACCUGAAGAAUAAGC